rnacentral:ncRNA from 1 species
ACAAAUCUGAUGACGAGAACGAGUAAAAUAUAGGACUGUUCCCCAGAGAACCGGUGUAUUGCUGAAAGCCGGUGUUCGGUAUAUAUUUGAAAAUCAUCUCCGAGGAGUCGGGCUGAAUGGAGUAAGUUCGAACGGUUGUCUGCCGUUACAAAGAACACGUAUGAUUGUACGUUGCUGAGAGCUAUUGAUGCAUGAGUAUCAAUAGAAGUAGGGUGGUAGCGCGGGUAAACCCGUCCCUAAU